rnacentral:rRNA from 1 species
UACGGGGGGGGCGAGCGUUGUUCGGAAUUACUGGGCGUAAAGGGCGCGUAGGCGGUUGGAUAAGUCAGCUGUGAAAACCACGAGCUCAACUUGUGGCCUGCAGUUGAGACUGUCUGGCUAGAGUGUGGGAGAGGGAAGUGGAAUUCCUGGUGUAGCGGUGAAAUGCGUAGAUAUCAGGAGGAACACCGGUGGCGAAGGCGGCUUCCUGGACCACAACUGACGCUGAGGCGCGAAAGCUAGGGGAGCAAACAGG